GGNUUACUUGCGCAUGGGCGAAACCCUGAGCAGCACCGCCGCGUGCGGGAAGAAAGGCUCUCGGGUUGUAAACCGCUUUCAGAGGAACGAAACUGACGGUACUUUCAGAAAGAAAGGUGCGGCCAACUACGUGCCAGCAGCCGCGGUGACACGUAGGCACCAAGCGUUGUCCGGAUUUAUUGGGCGUAAAGAGCUCGUAGGCGGUUCAGUAAGUCAGGUGUGAAAUCUUUGGGCUUAACCCAAAGCGUGCAUUUGAUACUGCUGUGACUUGAGUUCGGUAGGGGGAGUGGGGGAAUUCCUAGUGUAGCGGUGAAAUGCGCAGAUAUUAGGAGGAACACCGGUGGCGAAGGCGCCACUCUGGNCCGAAACUGACGCUGAGGAGCGAAAGCGUGGGGUAGCAAACAGGAUUAGAUACCCUGGUANGUCC
rnacentral:rRNA from 1 species